rnacentral:rRNA from 1 species
AACGAACGCUGGCGGCAGGCCUAACACAUGCAAGUCGAACGCUCAGCAAGGAGAGUGGCAGACGGGUGAGUAACACGUGGGAAUCUUCCUAUCGGUACGGAAUAGCUCAGGGAAACUUGAGGUAAUACCGCAUACGCCCUUCGGGGGAAAGAUUUAUCGCCGAUAGAUGAGCCCGCGUCUGAUUAGCUAGUUGGUGGGGUAAUGGCCUACCAAGGCGACGAUCAGCAGCUGGUCUGAGAGGAUGACCAGCCACACUGGGACUGAGACACGGCCCAGACUCCGACGGGAGGCAGCAGUGGGGAAUAUUGGACAAUGGGCGCAAGCCUGAUCCAGCCAUGCCGCGUGAGUGACGAAGGUCUUCGGAUUGUAAAGCUCUUUUGCCAGGGACGAUAAUGACGGUACCUGGAGAAUAAGCCCCGGCUAACUUCGUGCCAGCCGCCGCGGUAAAAC